AGUCUGUUUACAGCUCUAAAUGCUCUGGCCAUAUAUCACCCCACAAGCCCGUGGGAGGGGUGUGUUUAUAUAAAGACUCACACAGAGACUGCGCACAGGGACAGUGACUCACUGCAGCGAGCAGCUCAAACAGUACAAUGUCCUGUCUUUCUCCCAAGCAGGUUUCAUGUGAAGAAAGUAACAUGGAACCGUCUGAAUCAUAUGAAGUUGUUGAGAAAACUCAGUGUUUGCCCAUCCAUAAUCCACAAGAAACAACAGAAGGCCGCUUCCUGAAAUCGAAGUGUCUGAUGCCUGAUGAACGACAUUUACACGAUGAAAGUAACAUGGAACCGUCUGAAUCAUAUGAAGUUGUUGAGAAAACUCAGUGUUUGCCCAUCCAUAAUCAUAAUCCACAAGAAACAACAGAAGGCCUCCUUGAGAAACUGAAGUGUCUGGUGCCUGAUGAACGACAUUUACACGAUGGUCUACAGAAAGUGGCAGAGGACUAUCGACAGAAAAACUUACCUGUCAUUAACCUGAAUGAGCUAAUAAAAGCCAUAACCACAACAGUAGAACGCAUAAAACCCCAAGAAACAAAAGGAUUGGGAUCAAGACUAUUUUCUUAUACACCCAGCCUAACUUUAUCAUUAUCAUCAAGUAAAAAGGCCAAAGUUUAUAUUGUAGUGGCUGCUAAAACAUUUGGUGCUGAUCAAGAGAUCCUAAAGGGCAUCCAUGUAGAAAUAUGUCCAGAGCCUGCAAACUGUGACGUGGUCUUGGUCUUCUGUCCUGUCACGUCUCGUUCAGGAUCAGACAUGGAAGAUGCCAUGAGGAAUAUCUCAGAGAAAGCCAAUGGGAAAAAGAUGAUUUUGGUGGUGAUGCAUCAUUCAAUAGAGGACAUUUAUCUCCCACAACCCCUGCAAAACCCUGGAUACCCGAAUGUUAUUAAAUAUGUCAACGUUGUCUACCAUGAAAGUAAGAAAGGUUUAAUAAAAUGUGACAGAAAUGAUAAGGCCAUACAGGAACUAAAAGAAUUUUGCAAGAAUUUAGCAAGCUAAUAAAAUUGUAAUGAAUGUUUUGUAAUCAAUUCAAGUUUGAGUAAUCUCGCAGUCUCUCCUGGGCCCUAUUCCAACCCUCUUUACCGUUAGCUGUAAGAUUCUGUCCAAGCCUGUCACUCAUGCUCCCACCCACAAUUCUCCAUAAAUAUAACUGUACACUACAAUUUGACUGAUGUGCAAUAGUUUCAUGAGCAGAAUGAACAUUGAUAGCGCUCUGUGGAGUGAGUGACUUAGCGCAGAGAGCAAGGACAGGAGAGACUUAUUAAACAUGUUAAGUUGUUUAUGGGGAAUAUAACAUUUUUAAAACAAUAAAAGAUAACGCGUGA
ensembl:lncRNA